CACGUAGGGUGCGAGCGUUGUCCGGAAUUAUUGGGCGUAAAGAGCUCGUAGGCGGUCUGUCGCGUCGGGAUGUGAAAACCCAGGGCUUAACCCUGGGCCUGCAUUCGAUACGGGCAGACUAGAGUUCGGUAGGGGAGACUGGAAUUCCUGGUGUAGCGGUGAAAUGCGCAGAUAUCAGGAGGAACACCGGUGGCGAAGGCGGGUCUCUAGGCCGACACUGACGCUGAGGAGCGAAAGCGUGGGGAGCGAACAGG
rnacentral:rRNA from 1 species